rnacentral:rRNA from 1 species
AUACGUAGGGUGCAAGCGUUAAUCGGAAUUACUGGGCGUAAAGCGUGCGCAGGCGGUUUUGUAAGACAGUGGUGAAAUCCCCGGGCUCAACCUGGGAACUGCCAUUGUGACUGCAAGGCUGGAGUGCGGCAGAGGGGGAUGGAAUUCCGCGUGUAGCAGUGAAAUGCGUAGAUAUGCGGAGGAACACCGAUGGCGAAGGCAAUCCCCUGGGCCUGCACUGACGCUCAUGCACGAAAGCGGGGGGAGCAAACAGGAUUAGAUACCCUGGUAGUCCACGCCCUAAACGAUGUCAACUGGUUGUUGGGGAUUUAUUUUCUCAGUAACGAAGCUAACGCGUGAAGUUGACCGCCUGGGGAGUACGGCCGCAAGGUUAAAACUCAAAGGAAUUGACGGGG